UCUCGACCAGUUGACACAAACUGAAAUAGAAGUAACUUGUCAAGAGUCUCACACCCAAGGCAAAUAAAGAAUCUCUGAGGUACCUGACCCCUGACAUUUUUGCUAUCAAAAUACUAAAGAACCAUUGGAGGGAUUGCCUAUUUCUCCUGGGAUAAAAGGAUCACAGAUGUGCCAGAGAGUCCUAGAGCUGACUACUGCAGCAGUGAGGAGAAUUUUGAAAUAGAGGAAGAAGAGUUUCCUAACUUCACUCCGCAUAACUCCAAACACUGUUUGCUAUUCUCGGUUCCUUGGACUCUGGUAUUUUAGAUUUGUCAUUUUUCAAAUAUGCCAUUUGGGAUUGUGACAGGAUCACCUGGAGAGUAUUGCUGCCUGCUGUCUAAUCAUGGAAUAAGCAACAUGCUAUCCCAUUUAUUAGGACUUCAACUUUUUAAAAAAGAUUUGCUUAUUUUACAUAUGAGAGCUGUACCUACAUGUUCACCUACACGCCAAAAGAGGGCAUCAGAUCCCAUUACAGAUGGUUGUGAGUCAACAUUUGGUUGCUGGGAAUCGAACUUAGGUCCCCUGAAAGAGCAGACAUUGCUCUUAACCACUGAGCCAUCUCUCUAGCUCAGGUCUUCAAUUUUUUUCAACAGAGCUUUUCAGUUUUCAGAAAUAUUAUUAGUACUUUGUAGAUUCUUAUUGUUACUGUUUUUGGAUGGCACUGUAAAUGAGAUGUUUCUGUUUGUUGUGCUUGAGGCUGGACCUGGAGCCUCCCACACCCUAUGGAGGGCUCGUUCUUCUUCUGCCCCUCAAGUGCUGGGAUUAAGGUAUGUGCCACCCUGUUUAACUUGGUUUCUUUUCGAUUUCUUCUUUGAAUCAACAGUCAAUCAUGAGUGUGUACUAGUAAAAUUUGUAUUGAUUCUAAUAUUUACUCUAUGGUAGACACUUAUAUAAUUUUAAUCCCUUUAAGUCUGCUUAGAUUUGUUACAUGGCCUGGUAUAUGAUGUGUCCUGGAGAAAGUUCUAUGCAUACUUGAGAAUAGUAAGUAUAAUGCUGUUGGUGAAGAAUGUUCUAUUGAUACCUGAUUGGUUUAGUUGAUUUACAGGGCUUUAAAAAUCUACCUGUUCUUGUUCACCUCUGGCUGGCUGCUGCACCCACUACUGAAAGUGGGCUGCUGUGGUGCCUGAUUUCUUCCUCUCCAAUGCUGUCAGCAUUUAACUUUGUGUGUUCUGAGCCCUGAUUUUAAGUCGGACUGACCAUCUUCUUUGACACACAGCACUUUAUAUGACCCUUCUCUGUCAUUGGCUCUCUCUGUACCAUUCAAUCUACCCAACAACAAUCAGCAAGAUGCUGACUUCUCCACAUUCUAUAUCUCGCACAAUUAACUUAAACUAAAACCUUUUACAUUGUGCAAGAAGAAGCCAGAAAUUUAAAAGCUUCAGAAAUACCUAGUUUUCUGACCACAGAGAGGGCAUAGUUUUAGCCCAUGUUGACAGCAGCUGUGAACAGGGGGCCAUGCAGAGAUGAGCUAGUUAGUUUUGGGCUCCCCCACAUUCUUAAUUCCGAGCAGGAAUUAUGUCCAACUUUCUCAUCUGGAAAGAGUAAAGGCACCUGGGCCCAAUAAACAGCAUCUACCAAUAAAGCUAAAAAAGCAGGAGGCAGACCCAACACAACUAAGGAACUUCCACAGUGGCUGGCUAAUGCUGGGAAAAACAGGGAUUGAGAAAGUCAUCCUUAGCAUGGGUAGACAAUUCUGGAGAACAUCCUGUAACUGUCCACUCAGACAUAUGCUUGUUCUAGGGCAUUUUAUUUUGGGGGAGGGAACAAGAAAGAGAAACCAAUCCUACAAUUUCCUCAACCCUCAAAAAAUAGCCUCGACGCUUGGUCUUAGUGGAGACAUCAGGCCCCAGAGAAGAGGGAUGCUAGAAGUGGAAGGGGGGAGUGGAACACUCUCUUAGAGGCAAAGGAGAGGAGGAGGAGGGAACAGGGGGUUUGUAGAAGGAAGACCCGGAAGAGGGACAACAUUUGAAAUAUAAACAAAUAAAAUGAUUAAUCAAAGAAAAAAAUAAGCUUCAUCCCCACCAAGAACCUCAGAGGGCUGGAAAUAACUUCUCAUACAAUCUUGAGGAAAUGGCAAGGACUGUGAGGGUGUCCUAACCUCCAUCUCUUCUCCAUCCACUCCUCAGAGUUCAGCUUGCUGCAUGAGGCACUUACGGAAAUUACAGCAAGCCAUGUAUUUAUACUCAU